rnacentral:lncRNA from 1 species
UAUGGUAGUUUACAAUAAACUGUUCAUAUGAUACAAAAAGGGAUUGCAGGAUCAGAUCAACUUGCAAUUCCUUAUCCAUUUUCAAGCCAAGCUUCUCAAGCUCCUCGAGGUCUAUGAUCAUUGUCAAACAAUGAUCAUGAACGGACUGCCCUUCAGUUAGUUAUUGGAUGGUUUGGCAACAUGAGGUUUACCUGGUCAAGAACAUUGCAGUGCUUCUUGGAAUUUAAAACUAUUUUAUAAUUAAUUUCAGUUAAGGAUUUUGUGUCGAGAAUACGAGAGAGAUAAGUAGACAUUUACUUUGCAGAGAGUAAAGAUUCAAAUUAGAUAUUUGUAUUUGUUUUGAAAAUUUGUUUUAGGAAUUUUAAAAAUAAAUUUAGCCUCCCACUAUUUUCUCGAGUCUCUUACACUCUUCGGGUAGAGAAACGGAAAC